UAUACCUACGGGGGGCAGCAGUGAGGAAUAUUGGUCAAUGGGCGGGAGCCUGAACCAGCCAAGCCGCGUGAGGGAAGAAGGUACAGCGUAUCGUAAACCUCUUUUGUCAGGGAACAAAGGCGGGGACUAGUCCCCGGAUGAGGGUACCUGAAGAAAAAGCAUCGGCUAACUCCGUGCCAGCAGCCGCGGUAAUACGGAGGAUGCGAGCGUUAUCCGGAUUUAUUGGGUUUAAAGGGUGCGCAGGCGGUCUGGUAAGUCAGCGGUCAAAGCCCGGG
rnacentral:rRNA from 1 species